AAAAAGGAUAGACGUCAACUCUGGGGUUGGGUAUAAUAGGAUGGACAUCGACUCUGAGGUCGGGAACAAAAUGGUAAGCGUCAACUCUGAGGUUAGAUUUAUAGAUAUCAGCUCUGGGGUCGGGGGAUAAGAAAAGAUACAACAACUCGAAAGUUGGGAAAAAGGUAGACAUUCAGCUCUGAGGCUAGGGGGGAAAAGGUACAUCAACUCCAAAGUUGGAAACAGAUAGACGUUUAGCUCUGAGGCCGAAGGUAGAAAAGGUACAUCAACUCCUAAGUUGGAAAAAGGUAGGCGUUCAACUCUGAGGCUGGAAGUAAAAGAGAAACACCAAUUCUAAAGUUGGAAAAAUGUAGUUGCACAACUCUGAAGUUGGGAGAAAAGAUGGUAAACGCCUACUCCGAAGUUGAAAAAAGAUGAUGAACAUGAACUUUAAGGGUUGGAAGCAAACACAUGGGCCAUGAGCCCAAUCCGCUUCACCAAAAAACAAACCAAAGGGAAAGCACUCUUCCCUCAUGUGCCAGAACAACACUAACACAGUUUAAAAACUAUUCCCUCCAACCUCAGCCGAAGAACAAACCUCCGCCGCGCAAGAGCUCAUCGUCGGCGGUGGCAGAGCUCUAAACACGAGAAGACAGUCACCGAAAUGACCGCCUCUACCUCACCAAUCCAAAUCCAUACUCCAAAUGUCCUAAAACUAAAUCCAACAUCCGAAUCACAAUCAAAAUCUCAAGAACCCUAAACUAUAACAUCACAAAUUAAAUCCUCUGGUGGAGGAAUCAGAGUCCCUAGGCGUAGGGAUUUGAUUCCUCAAGUGCUAAUCUACGUCCUAGUAACCGAUUCGAUACAGGGUGAGGCAGAAAUCGAACUACCUCUUGAAGACCGGUGCGAUGACGACGAUGAAAGUCAAAUCUCAGGUGGACCCUACUGAGCUAGGUGUGCUCAUUCUGUUAUCCUUUUUUUGCAGGGCUUUGGUUUAGACUCUAUUUGGAAUUUGCGGAUUGAAAAUGAUGUCGGUGAUUUGCGAUGUGGUGUUGUUUUGAGAAAAAUGCAGGAGAAUGAAAUUGAUGGUUGUCGGCUAAUGGACCUACUAUUGUUAAUGUAUUUUUGUGUCAAUGCAAAUGAUGAAAUUAGUUUAGCAUGUUGUGAUGAUAGCAGUUAUGGAAAUUAGUUGGAAUAAAAUCUGUUUUGGUUGGUUAGGGUGAAUGAAUGUUUAGUUUCGGUUUUCUGUUAGUGGUUAUGUGAUGGUUAUGGGUAAUAUUAGGUAGGUUUUAUUUGCUUUGCCUUAGGACUGUUUUCAUUGUUUGUAAUGGUGAAUGGUAUGUGUUGUAAUGGUUAUGAAUAUGUAUGUAAUGAAUGUCAUUCGGUUGUAAAUAGGGAAUGGGUCUCAUGCUAAAUGUAUGGCAAGUUGAUUUUGGAAUUGUAUUAAAUGUAAUAAAAUUUGGGAAUUGGUUUA